UACGAAGGGGGCUAGCGUUGCUCGGAAUUACUGGGCGUAAAGCGCACGUAGGCGGAUUGCUAAGUCAGGGGUGAAAUCCUGGAGCUCAACUCCAGAACUGCCUUCGAUACUGGCGAGCUCGAGUUCGGGAGAGGUGAGUGGAACUGCGAGUGUAGAGGUGAAAUUCGUAGAUAUUCGCAAGAACACCAGUGGCGAAGGCGGCUCACUGGCCCGAUACUGACGCUGAGGUGCGAAAGCGUGGGGAGCAAACAGG
rnacentral:rRNA from 1 species